rnacentral:misc_RNA from 1 species
GAUGAAGAACGCAGCGAAAUGCGAUAAGUAAUGUGAAUUGCAGAAUUCAGUGAAUCAUCGAAUCUUUGAACGCACAUUGCGCCCCCUGGUAUUCCGGGGGGCAUACCUGUUCGAGCGUCAUUUCACCACUCAAGCCUCGCUUGGUAUUGGGCAACGCGGUCCGCCGCGUGCCUCAAAUCGACCGGCUGGGUCUUCUGUCCCCUAAGCGUUGUGGAAACUAUUCGCUAAAGGGUGCUCGGGAGGCUACGCCGUAAAACAAACCCAUUUCUAAGGUUGACCUCGGAUCAGGUAGGGAUACCCGCUGAACUUAAGCAUAUCAAUAAGCGGAGGA